AAGUGAAGUCGCUCAGUCGUGUCUGAUUCUUAGUGACUCCAUGGACUGCAGCCUACCAGGCUCCUCCAUACAUGGGAUUUUCCAGGCAAGAGUACUGGAGUGGGUUGCCAUUGCCUUCUACUAAUUAGCUAUUACAUGCCUCAGCUUCCUCAUCUGCAGCAUGGGAGAGCACAAUGCCUGUUCUGUCUCCCAGGUAUUUGAUGUGAAAGUGCUUUGCAAAUAAAUAGUGUCAUACACAUGUAAGAUAUCAAUGUUACUGUGUGGGAUAAAAGGUACAUUCUGAAGUUUAAAACUUUUUAAAAAGUUAAGUGUUUCACAUAAAACAACUGAGAUGACUGUUGAAUUUUGGUGGGGCACUGGUUUAGGCACUGAAGAUGAAUCACGGUGACUUUUCUACCUUUAGCCACGUCAGUGUGUAUAACAGUUCUGGCCAAGUGUGAUUAAAGCAGUGCAUUUACGACAAACGAAAAAAUCGCCUUUUUAUCUGUUUCUCUUUUAACUGCUAAAAAGGUAUUUUUUUUUUUACUGUAAAAGAUAACAUAUAUAUAACAUUUUGAAAUGCAAAUGUCUAGUUCAAUGAAUUAUUUAAAAAGUGAACAUCCAUGGAACUACCUCCCAGCUCAAGAAAUAGGACAGUUUCAUUCCCCACCCACCCCUGCACAGGAGUCUUUUUUCUUUGUUAGGUGCUUGCUUUUUCUUUUCAGGGAAGUUAUAAACAUUGACAGGUCCAAAAUAUGUGCUUCUUUGAGUGGAAUUAGAUCAAAAGUGUAAUGUUAGUGUUUUACUUGGUAGCUAUUUAUUAUAACUAUGAACUUAGUGUUUUGGAUAAGUCCUGAGUUUUCAGCCUUAAGGAUCAUAAUCUUCAGGUUUAGAGCUGUCAGAUUUUUGUCCUUGGAAUGGAACGCAAAAAGUUGUAAUCCGUUGGAUGUGAGAAAACUUAACGUGCCCAGUUACUUUUUAAGUAUUCUGAUCAUUCCUCCUUUGACUGUUUUUAGAAAUGAAAUAACUAAGACUCCAGUAUUAUGAUGACUUGUACAGUAGUCAAAGGUCUUCUUGGAAAUACUUGAACAUUAUCAAGGCAAAUACCUUUCAGUUCAGGCACCGUAGGCUAGAUCUGAAGUGGCAAGAGUCAGUGAAAACAGCUUUAUUGCAUGAAAACAACCUGUAUUUUCUUUCAUUAUAAUCUAGUGUUCUAAAUACUGCCAUCUCUUAAGGCUUAAUUAACGAGUCAAUAAAUCAGAAGAUUUUUUGGAUACUGAUGAAAAUGGGAAUAAGCUAAAUCCUGUCUGGGGUGGGGGGAACAGAUAACAUACAAAAAAAUUGGGAAUUGGAAUGGCAGCUAAGAAACAAUGGAUUCAUUCUUUCAGAAUUCUGAGGAAAAUUAUUUUCAGUCUAGAAUUUCAAAGAAACUAUCAAGUGGAAGAUACAAUAUGGACAUUUUGUGCAUGUGAAAUGUCUCCAAAGUUUAUUUUCUGUGCAUCUUUUUAUAGGAAGUUAUGGAUCGAUAUAAAAAUGUGGGUAUCAAUGAAGAAAGAAUAAUCUACAGUCUUCUGGAAACAGUCAAACACAGGAGAAUUCUAGGAUGACAGUGAGAUUUCAAGGUGGCAGUAGUGCAGCAGGCCUGGAGAG
ensembl:lncRNA